CAGAAACACUACUGACGUAACUAUGUGUAACCGGCCCGCAGUAUCAGCUUGUACGUGAGGUGGGAGCUAUAUAAACGUAGUGUGGCACACAAGAAGACGAGUAGUUGGGAAGAGAACAGAAUGCUAACCUGUAAGAUACUGGUCGUAGCCGCAGUGGCGCUGAUGCUGGCAUCGCCAGCAGAGAUGUCGCCUACCCCUGCACCGGCAGAGGUCAGCACAGUGUGCCGCUACGUCUGCCGGAAGGUGAACGAGACGCAGUGCGAGGAGCGCGGCGGACGGGUGGUCACCCCCAGCCAGCCGUGCCACUGCGCUUGCUGCCCCUACUGCUCUGCUGACAGGGCUAAGUGAGGGGCGCCGUCGCCCCACUCUCCUGCGGAACAGCCAACGCACCUGCAAGCUCAGCACCACGCAUACCGCUCUAGCACAGUGUGUUUCACCAAACAUGUAAUUUAACAAAUGAAAAUUAAAAAUUUCAACAACA